UACGGAGGGUGCAAACGUUGCUCGGAAUCAUUGGGCGUAAAGCGCACGUAGGCGGCCUGUUAAGUCGGAUGUGAAAGCCCCGGGCUCAACCCGGGAAGUGCAUUCGAAACUGGCGGGCUUGAAUAUGGAAGAGGGUCGCGGAAUUCCCGGUGUAGAGGUGAAAUUCGUAGAUAUCAGGAGGAACACCGGUGGCGAAGGCGGAUCUCUGGGCCUGUUCUGACGCUGAGGCGCGAAAGCUAGGGGAGCGAACAGG
rnacentral:rRNA from 1 species